rnacentral:rRNA from 1 species
GAUGAACGCUGGCGGCGUGCAUAACACAUUCAAGUCGAACGGUGAUGAGGACUUCGGUCCUCUGAUCAGUGGCGGACGGGUGAGUAACGCGUGAGCAACCUGCCCUAUAUUGCGGGAUAACAACCGGAAACAGUUGCUAAUACCGCAUGACGUAUUCGGAUCGCAUGUUCUGGAUACCAAAGAAUUUUGAUAUAGGAUGGGCUCGCGUCCGAUUAGGCAGUUGGUGGGGUAACGGCCCACCAAACCGACGAUCGGUAGCCGAACUGAGAGGUUGAACGGCCACAUUGGAACUGAGAUACGGUCCAGACUCCUACGGGAGGCAGCAGUUGGGGAAUAUUGCACAAUGGGCGAAAGCCUGAUGCAGCAACGCCGCGUGAGGGAAGACGGUCUUCGGAUUGUAAACCUCUGUCCUUGGUGACGAAUAAAUGACGGUAGCCUUGGAGGAAAGCCAC